rnacentral:rRNA from 1 species
UGCAUGUCUAAGUAUAAGCUUUAUACUGUGAAACUGCGAAUGGCUCAUUAAAUCAGUUAUAGUUUAUUUGAUGGUGUUUUCUACUCGGAUAACCGUAGGAAAACUAGAGCUAAUACGUGCGUAAAUCCCGACUUCGGAAGGGACGUAUUUAUUAGAUAAGAGGCCGACCGGGCUUGUCCCGACCUUCGGUGAAUCAUGAUAACUUCACGAAUCGCAUGGUCUUGAACCGGCGAUGUUUCAUUCAAAUUUCUGCCCUAUCAACUUUCGACGGUAGGGUAGUGGCCUACCGUGGUGGUAACGGGUGACGGAGGAUUAGGGUUCGAUUCCGGAGAGGGAGCCUGAGAAACGGCUACCACAUCCAAGGAAGGCAGCAGGCGCGCAAAUUACCCAAAUCCCAACUCGGGGAGGUAGUGACAAGAAAUAACGAUGCUCCGGCCUUUGGUCGGGUAAUCGGAAUGAGAACAAUUUAAAUCCCUUAUCGAGGAUCAAUUGGAGGGCAAGUCUGGUGCCAGCAGCCGCGGUAAUUCCAGCUCCAAUAGCGUAUAUUUAAGUUGCUGCGGUUAAAAAGCUCGUAGUCGGAUUUCGGGUGGCGCCUACCGGUCCGCCUUUGGUGAGUACUGGUAGGUACCUCCUUUCUGCCGAGGACGGGGUUCUGGGCUUAGCUGUCUGGGUCCCGGAGUCGGCGAUGUCACUUUGAGUAAAUUAGGGUGUUCAAAGCAGGCUUAUGCUCUGUAUACACUAGCAUGGGAUGACACGAUAGGACUUCGGCUUAUCUUGUCGGUCUGUAGGUCGGAGUAAUGAUGAAGAGGGACAGUCGGGGGCAUUCGUAUUUCGUAGUCAGAGGUGAAAUUCUUGGAUUUACGGAAGACGAACUUCUGCGAAAGCAUUUGCCAAGGAUGUUUUCAUUGAUCAAGAACGAAAGUCGGGGGCUCGAAGACGAUUAGAUACCGUCGUAGUCUCGACCAUAAACGAUGCCGACUAGGGAUCGGAGG